rnacentral:lncRNA from 1 species
AGGGUCAAUAUGGAAAUUGGGCUUAUGGGCCAGGUGAAACUGGGCUUAUAGGGACUAGUGUAGAAACUGGGCUUAGGAGCCAGUGUAAAACUGGGCUUAGGGGCCAGUUUAAAACUGGGCUUAGGGGCCAGUUUAAAACUAGGCUUAGGGCAAGUGUAAAACUACGCUUAGGGGUCAGUGUAAAACUGGGCUUAGGGACCAGUGUAGGAAUUGGG